rnacentral:rRNA from 1 species
GUCCACACCCUAAACGAUGAUAACUCGAUGUUGGCGAUACACAGUCAGCGUCUAAGCGAAAGCAUUAAGUUAUCCACCUGGGAAGUACGACCGCAAGGUUGAAACUCAAUGGAAUUGACGGGGGCCCCGCACAAGCGGAGGAGCAUGUGGUUUAAUUCGAUGAUACGCGAGGAACCUUACCUGGGCUUGAAAGUUAGUGACCGUCCCUGAAAGGGGAUUUUCAGCAAUGACACGAAACUAGGUGCUGCAUGGCUGUCGU